UACGAAGGGGGCUAGCGUUGUUCGGAAUCACUGGGCGUAAAGGGCGCGUAGGCGGCUUGUAAGUCGGGGGUGAAAGCCUGUGGCUCAACCACAGAAUUGCCUUCGAUACUGCAUGGCUUGAGACCGGAAGAGGUAAGUGGAACUGCGAGUGUAGAGGUGAAAUUCGUAGAUAUCUGGAGGAACACCGGUGGCGAAGGCGGCAUCCUGGACCGGUAUUGACGCUCAGCCACGAAAGCAUGGGGAGCGAACGGG
rnacentral:rRNA from 1 species